CCACAUCAUGUAGAAACACCGGUUCUCUUACGAUCACCGAAUUUAAGCAUCGUCGAUGCUGGUCAGUACCUGGAUGGGUGACCGCUUGGGAAUCCCAGAUGCUGUGA